AAAAUAUUGAAUAAAAAGGUAAAAGUAUUACAUGUUUGUAAAUGUAGAUCGUCCAGGUUUGUAUAGUCCUGAGGAGGACCGUUUUUGCUGUUAUUGACUGACGUUUUGACAACCUUAGCGGAAGUCAUCUUCAGAGUCA